UUAAUGCAACGGUUGUACGUGAAUUUGCAACAGCGCGUAGUGCGCAGCACGUAGUGAGACAAAGGAUUUGUGAUAUUAUUAAACAAAAUUUUUUGCAAAAUAAUUGAAAAUGUGCUAAAAAUUUAUUAGAAAAAAUUUAUUACAAUGAAAUCCUUAUUAUUGCAUAUCAUAUACACGCUACUCUGCGCUAGCGCCUACGCAGCUGAGGAGCGGCCGAAAUUUAAUGUCGGCAUAAUUUUCGCCAACAAAAAUGAUGAAACCGAAAUCGCUUUCCGCACCGCCAUCGAACGCGCCAAUGUCUUCGAGCGCAGCUUCGAGCUGGAGCCCAUUGUGGAGUAUGCCGAUACCGAUGAUAGCUUCAUGGUGGAGAAAACAGUCUGCAAAUUGAUUGCGCAAGGCGUUAUUGCUAUUUUCGGGCCAAACACAGCAGGCGGCACAGAUGUAGUGAAUUCCAUCUGCAAUACACUCGAUAUACCGCAUAUUGUUUUCGACUGGACCCCCAAUGAAGCCCUAUCCGAUCGCCAGCACUCAUCGAUGACACUCAAUGUACACCCGAACAAUAUAUUACUAUCACGUGGCUUAGCUGAAAUAUUGCAGAGCUUUAGUUGGCGCAGCUACACGAUCGUUUACGAGACAGAAAGAGAGCUUCAGCAAUUACAGGACGUGUUGCAAGUGGGCGAACCCAGCAACAAUCCAACAACUGUACGUCAGCUGACCGAAGGUCCUGACUUUCGUCCAUUUCUGAAGAAUAUCAAAUUGUCCACAGAUAGCUGUAUUGUGCUGCACUGUUCGACAGAUAAUAUUAUGAAGAUUUUAAAGCAAGCGAACGAACUGAGAAUGUUAGGGGAAUAUCAAAGCGUAUUUAUCACAGUGCUCGACACACACACAUUGGAUUUUCAGGAAUUGCUUUCAGUGAAUGCUAAUAUUACUACCAUACGUCUGAUGGACCCCACCGAUUAUCAAGUGAAGAACGUGGCACAUGAUUGGGAGGAACAUGAAAAGCGCGAAGGUCGUUAUUAUCGCGCCGAUCCGUCACAAGUGAAGACAAAUAUGAUUCUGGCUAACGAUGCCGUUUCGAUGUUUGUGAAAGGUCUCGGAGAGCUUGGUAUUGUCGAAGAACUCAACCCACCGAAGUUGGAAUGUCGCAAAAAUCGUGCUUGGACGCAUGGCAGACGUAUUAUUGAGUUCUUAAAAGCGCGCUCGGUAGAAGCCGCAACAGGUCGUGUAGAUUUCAACGAACAUGGCGAGCGUAACUUUUUCACUCUACGCUUUAUGGAAUUAACUACCAGCGGUUUUCUAGAUUUAGCCACUUGGGAUCCGGUGAAUGGUGUUGAUUCACUCGAAAAAGAGGAUGCCAGUGAAAAGCGUGUGGGUGAGAAACUUGCUAAUAAAACAAUGAUAAUCACUUCGCGUAUUGGUGCGCCUUUCUUAUUGAAUAGAGAGCCAAAAGACGGUGAAAUACUACAAGGCAAUGCACGUUAUGAAGGCUAUUCAAUGGACUUGAUAGAUGCCAUAGCAAGAUUGUUGAACUUUAAAUAUGAAUUCGUUUUGGCGCCCGAUGGCAAAUAUGGCAGCUUUAACAAAUUAACGCAAUCAUGGGAUGGUCUUGUCAAGCAGCUGCUAGACGGUAACGCCGAUCUCGGUAUUUGUGAUCUCACCAUGACUUCCGCACGUCGCCAAGCUGUUGACUUCACGCCACCAUUCAUGACAUUGGGCAUCAGCAUACUCUAUGCGAAGCCCGAACAGCCACCACCGGAUCUUUUCUCUUUCCUUUCGCCAUUUUCUUUAGAUGUAUGGAUAUAUAUGGCUACUGCAUAUUUGGGUGUUUCGCUACUGCUUUUCGGUCUCUCGCGCAUGGCACCAGCAGACUGGGAAAACCCACAUCCGUGUAAGGAACCCGAAGAAGUAGAGAAUCCUUGGUGCAUGUCCAAUACGACUUGGUUAGCAGUCGGUUCCAUUAUGGGGCAAGGUUGCGAUAUAUUACCUCAAGCUGCUUCGACGCGUCUCGUUACCGGCAUGUGGUGGUUCUUUGCCUUGAUGAUGUUGAACUCUUAUACGGCCAACUUAGCCGCCUUUCUGACAAUGUCUAGGAUGGAAAGUUCAAUUAAGAGUGCUGAGGAUUUGGCGGCCCAAAGUAAAAUCAAAUAUGGCGCUUUACUAGGCGGCAGCACAAUGGGCUUUUUUCGCGACUCAAAUUUCACCACAUAUCAACGCAUGUGGACCGCCAUGGAAACGGCGCGUCCAUCGGUAUUUACCAAAAACAAUGAUGAGGGCGUUGAUCGCGUACUUAAGGGCAAAGGACUUUACGCUUUUCUCAUGGAGUCCACCACAUUGGAGUAUAUAGUCGAACGUAAUUGCGAUCUGAUGCAAGUCGGUGGCUGGUUGGAUUAUAAAACUUAUGGCAUUGCAAUGCCGUUUAACUCUCCCUACCGCAAACAGAUUAGCGGUGCCGUUUUGAAGCUAGGCGAGUCUGGUACGCUCUCGGAGUUGAAGCGUAAGUGGUGGAAAGAGAUGCAUGGUGGUGGUUCCUGCUCGCAAGCAGCAUUGGACUGCUCACUGGAAUGCUAAUUGGUAUAUGCGAGUUUUUGUGGAAUAUUAAAGCGGUAGCUAUAGAAGAAAAGAUUUCACUCUCAGAAGCCUUCAAGGCUGAACUCAUGUUUGCGCUACGCUUUUGGAUACAAACAAAGCCGGUACACACAGCUUCU
rnacentral:misc_RNA from 1 species